rnacentral:rRNA from 1 species
UACGAAGGGGGCUAGCGUUGUUCGGAAUCACUGGGCGUAAAGGGCGCGUAGGCGGUUUGGUAAGUUAGAAGUGAAAUGCCGGGGCUUAACCUCGGAACUGCUUUUAAAACUGCCAGACUAGAGUUCGGGAGAGGAUAGUGGAAUUCCUAGUGUAGAGGUGAAAUUCGUAGAUAUUAGGAGGAACACCGGUGGCGAAGGCGGCUAUCUGGACCGAUACUGACGCUGAGGCGCGAAAGCGUGGGGAGCAAAC